GAUGAACGCUGGCGGCGUGCCUAAUACAUGCAAGUCGAGCGAACAGACGAGAGUGCUUGCACUCUCUGACGUUAGCGGCGGACGGGUGAGUAACACGUGGGUAACCUACCUAUAAGACUGGGAUAACUUCGGGAAACCGGAGCUAAUACCGGAUAAUAUUUAGCUUCGCAUGAAGCAAUAGUGAAAGACGGUUCUGCUGUCACUUAUAGAUGGACCCGCGGUGUAUUAGCUGGUUGGUGAGGUAACGGCUCACCAAGGCAACGAUACAUAGCCGACCUGAGAGGGUGAUCGGCCACACUGGGACUGAGACACGGCCCAGACUCCUACGGGAGGCAGCAGUAGGGAAUCUUCCGCAAUGGACGAAAGUCUGACGGAGCAAUGCCGCGUGAGUGAAGAAGGUUUUCGGAUCGUAAAACUCUGUUGUAAGGGAAGAACAAGUACGUUAGUAACUGAACGUACCUGGACGGUACCUUACCAGAAAGCCACGGCUAACUACGU
rnacentral:rRNA from 1 species